CCCAAACCAAUAAAGUUUUCUUUAUUGGGGUUGCGGACAUAUCAUAACGAAGAGGUAUCGUAAUUGAAGAGGUUUGGAAAGACCCACCACAGAAGGUAAUAGUCCUGUAUGUUAAACGAGAAGACUUUAGAUAUGAUCCAGAGUACCACGGGACACGUGAAACCCUGUGGGAAGCAGGAGGGACCACCCUCCAAGGCUAAAUACUACCUAGUGACCGAUAGCGUAUAGUA
rnacentral:rRNA from 1 species